CCAACGGCCCUGUUUAGGGCCACUUUAAUACUGCACUGCAGAUUGU
rfam:Echinococcus multilocularis genomic scaffold, pathogen_EmW_scaffold_05